CUCCGAGGACCGGGCAGGAGCGGGCGCUGCGCAGGGCUCGGUGAGAAUUACCGGCUGCGGCCGCCGGCCGGUACCGCGCAGCCGCCCGCGCACCGGGAGCUCUGCCCCGGCCGGGCUCCCCGCCCAUCCCGCGCUGAAGGAGCUACAUCCCAAAUGUUGUCACGGUCAUCAAUCUCUACUUGCCAGCUGAGCAACUGAAGUCUGUGGACAGACUCGUUUCUCUUCCUUGCCAGAGGCCAAGCACCCAAAUGGGGCACUGCUCUGCAGCAGUUUCACUGAAGUUGCCAUAUGCUCACAGGGAGGUCUGUAUCGUUCCUGGUGCUUGAGAAAGAAAAUCGAUUGAAAUUUUUAGAUCUGCUGAGUUUGAGAAGUUGUGAAAUACCUUGUUGUUUCAAAUGUGCAUAAUUUUUUGGAAGUAUAUGAUUGAAAAACUAAUUAUGAAGCCCCAAGAGGGCAUGAUUAGUCACUUGGUCAAAUAGAAUAGGGUUAAGCACUCAGUUAAUGAAUGAGUCUGGUUGACAGUAAAGUCACCCCCACCUCCACCCAGAUUGGAAAUAUUAAGAAAUAUUAAUAUGUAUGUAUUUUUAAAAUAACCACUGGUCAUUAAUAGUUAUACCUUCUGUGUUACCAUUAUCUUGAAUUUUCUUUUCCUUUCUGUCCCUGAUUGCCAUUUCCAUCUGUUUUCUGUAAAAUGUUUUGAGUUUUGGUAGUGUUUGAUGGUGAUAAUACAGAUUAGCAAGGCUUUACAGAGAAGCAUUGGGGGUUAAUGGUCAAGUGUUGUCUAGAUAGGCUUCUAGGUACCAAGCAGAAGUAAUUGUAUGAAGUGAAUUGUUUCCAGAAUACUUUUCUGUCUAGGAAUGUAACAAAAGCUGCACAUGCUGUUCCUAAUAUAGGCUAUUUUUGUCUUUAUAACAGAGACUCUACAAGUAGGCUUAGUGAUUGGAGAUGGAAGAAGUUGUUAGAUUGUAGUUGGAGAUCAGCCAAAUGUCAAAAUAUUUUCAUCCAAUAUGUUCAUUAAAUUAGGUUCUUGGACAAAAGUAACAGGUUAUUUCUGUUCUUUUUGUUUGGUUGGUUGUUUUUUUUUUUCCCUCUGACAUCUCAGAGUUGAUACUUUUAAAGAAUUUUACUCAUCAGUUAAGUAGUUUACAAAUGUUUUGGGGUGUAAUUCACUGUUAAAAAAUCUUAGUGCAGUUAUUUUCUCCUAUAUCUAAUUUUUCUUCUAUGGCCAUGACUGCUCAGGGUUUUAAUGGCAACAUCAAUUAAUUUAACGCCAGCUUCAGGUCUGGCUAGCAGUUAAUGUGUAUGCAUUCUUCUGAAUGUUCACGUGCAAAAAGCCGUACUAAAGAUGCUGUAUUGGCUUGUUUCUUAACAUUGCUCAAUUAAACUGAGGACCUGAUCUGAAGUUGUAACAAUAACAAAGCUGUAAAGUUUAAAAGGCAGUGCUCCAUGGGGAAACAAAGUUGUUCUUCAACAUUGUUAUCAAGUGCAUUGUUUCUUUAAGGGUUUUUUUUCCUGAAAAAUAGUUAUGCUGCUACAAAAUUUAGUAAUUUUUACUGUAAUGCAGUUUUAUGUUAAUUUCCUUAAAGAUGAAAGUUGAGUUGUUUGAUUAAUAAUCAAACUUAAAGUAUUGCUGACUGUGACUGUGAACAGGGAAAGAACUCCUAAUUCUUUCAGGCAACAUUUCUUGCUGUCAUAACUUCAGGGUAUGAUCAUCUUACCUGAUAAGAAGAAAGAGUGAACAAACUUCAGUUAAACAAUCGAGCAAGGACUCCCUUCAGAAAAUGGAAUUUAGGUUUAAAAGUGAUUUAAUGCAUUUUGAGCUUUUAGUAGCCAUGUUGCCAACUAAUCUCAUGAUCUGUGGGCGUCUUAUAACUCUCAGGGAUGUACAUGCAUGUCUCAAGGGAGUUCAUUCACAUUUAACAUAGAUUGCAACAGGAGACUUCCUCACCUACCCCAUUUGCCUUAAAUUUUCAGAAUUUAUCUGCUAGAAGUGUUCAACUAUCACUCAAAGGCUCACUUUUUCAUAGAAAGGCUUGCAUAUCUGGAUUUUACUGAUGUAAGAUCGUCUUAGUCAUCUGACUGUAGUUCCCAUCUGUGCAUCUUUUCAUGUUCUUAUUGAGAUACUUAGAAAGCCAAGAAAAAUUAUGUGACUAGCCUAGCAGCUGAAUCAUUGUAUUUUAUGAUGAAUAUCAGUGCUGGCACAGGAAAUGCAAGAUACUAACUCAGGUUUUUUCAAAUGAUUGAGGGAGGAAGAGGAUUUGUAAACAGUUUGCAGUGUAACAAUGGAAUCUUUAUCCAAGCAUUUCUGUAAUUUAAUAAUAAUAAUUUUGGAUUGUGGUUUGGGGUUUUGGAGGACUUUCUAUUUGUAUUUAUUUUCAAGAAUUUUAUUUUUCAUUGCCUUUAUGUAAAUUACACAUUUUGCAGAAAUUGUCAUGAUGCCUUAAUUUUCCAUGUAUCAUAAUUACUAUUUCAUUAUAUCCCAUAUAUGUUAAUAAUUAUGGAUUAUGUAAUGAAAAAUGUAUACAUAUUUUCAAAUAAAAGCCAUAAAAAAUUUAUAGUAAUUGAAGUAUAAAUUGGAAUAGUUUUGGUUGCUGAGCCUCAUUAAAAAAAAAAACCAACCCACAAUAAACUCAUUAACAUUAGAAGAAGUUUUGAUUUUUUAAAUAGGCCUAAAUAUUACAUUUUCACUGUAUGGCUAUGCUUCCAUGUCUUGGUAACGUUACAGUCUCAGCAGCCAAAAUUAACAGUAGUUUUAUUUGGCAUUAUCAACCAUAAGGCAAACUCCAUUUUAUUUAAACUUCGACAAUAAAAAGAAAUUUUAAUCUUUUUCCCUUUUUUCCUGUAGGCUUAAAAUGAAUAAACAGUGCCCUUUUUAAAGCAUGACUCAUUCAAAAGUACAUGAUAAAUGAGGAAUUAUUAAUUUAAUUGAAGUGAUUCCUUUGCCAGUCAUUGUAUUGAUGUGUACAGACUAAUAAUUUUCAAUUCACAGUACAAAACUUGUGAUCAAAUACUCCUAUUUUCCUCGAGAUAGAAAUCUUUGUUUUGCAACCAAUUUGCACAGAAUGUUUUCUAGUAGUGUCUUGUGCCUGUUCUUCUGUAACUACAUUUUGGAUUUCCAGUGCAUUAAAUAUGUAUGUGUGGGCUUUAUGGAAGCAGUACUGCAAAAAAAGGGGAGAAAAAAGGCCAGAAAAAAAGGACUUAAUAUAAUUUUAAGGAAUAAAGAACAAAAGCCCAUCAGGGUAAAAGUAGUAGGAGGGGUGUUUCAUUUUACUCAUCUCAUGGAAAGCUUACGUUAACAAGAAUAUGCAAAAAACCCCACCAAAAUGCUAGUACGAGCUACACACUUGUUUUCUUUCGUUAUUGAUCCUUUAUGAGGAUAUUCCAAGUAAAGUAAAAUAUAGCAAUAUAAGAUAAAAUUAUACAUGUAAUAGAAAAAUAUGAAUCCCUUUAUAAUUUCUAUUGAUAGAAAUUAAACAUGUAUAACAAUUACAUUUCAAAGACAGCAGUUUACAGGGCUCAGGAGAAUAAGAGGCAGAAAUGCUGGACAGCUUUAUGUGCACUGUGCUUGCACUUUAAAAAAGAUAUUUAAUUUCCUAUUUAAAAGCAUAAAACCAUAGUCACAGUUCCAGAGUGAAAUCCUUUGAAGAAAAUUAGUGGGGUGAAAAAUGUCGAUUUUGCUGACAGUAUGUACCCAUUAGAAGAAGUGGUUUCUUUACUGAUCAUUUCUUGCUUGCAUUUGUAAAGGUACAAUAUCAGUCUUGGGUUAUUGUUUUACUGUGUAUUUCUUUUCCUUCCCUUCCCUGACAGGACUUUGAAAUGAUAUAAGGUAAUUUAUCUUUUGACUGGUUUCAUUCCAGUAGCCUACUUUGGGAUUAUUUGGGCUUCCAGCACACUGAAGGGAUGUUGCCAUUUUCUAAAAAGCAUUUGAAUUGAUAUUUUAGUAAAUGAUUUUUAGUAAAUCUGAUACCUGUUCUUGGUUAUUUGACCGGUCUCUCAUGUAAGUGACAGAAACAGUUGUGUUACUGCAAAACUGUAAGUUGAGUUAAAUGUGUUUCCAGGUCUCUCAACACAGCAAACUUCAUUAGAAGGCUUUCUGCUUUAUGUCUGAGAAAAACCAAGAUGCAACGCAGGCACCAAAGUAAUAGACGACCAAUGGUUCCACUCGGAUCACGGAUUUUAACUGAUCCUUCUAAGGUGGUUGGGAUGGAUUGUGAAGAUGGAAGUGAAGAAACAGGGUUGUUCAGAAAGUGGAUCUGCUGAUGAAUCUAUGUAGCUCAGAUAGGAAAACAGGUGAAAUUGAAUUGAAGCAGAAGUGCAUGGAAGUUGUGAAGGUUUUGAUAAAUCAAGAACCUGGCUAUGCCAGAGGGGACCACAUGCAAUGGUCACAAGAAGAAGAGGAGAAUGCCAAGAGAAAAGCAGAAGAGAAUUCUCUUGUGAAAGUUCAAUCGGAAGACCAAGAUAAAUAUGAGAGAGAAGCCAGUAAAUAUUGGAAUGAAUUUUACAAGACACAUAAAAAUAACUUUUUCAAGGAUCGCAAUUGGCUGUUUCUGGAGUUUCCAGAAAUUCUUCCAGAAAAAAGGAGACAAGAGUUCAAAACAGAAAAAAUAUCUUUGGAACACACAAAAAUAAAUAAUGACAACAGUUUUUCACUCAAAAAUGGAAUGUUUGAAGAAGAAGAAAAAUACCGGGAAAAAAAUUAUGGAUCUGGUUCUACUGCUGUACAAGGAUAUGUAUAUAAUAAAAAUGAAGUAAAAGCUCUUACUGCCAAUCCUCAAGAUAAAAAGUGUGGAGAAGAACUUGGCAAGGUAGAAUCCUUCCCUGGCUCCGAUGCCACUUACCGAAUAUUAGAGGUUGGUUGUGGAGCUGGAAACAGUGUCUUUCCUAUUCUGAAAGUUCUAUGCAAUACACCUGGAACCUUUCUAUACUGUUGUGAUUUUGCUUCAGGAGCAGUGGAUCUGGUAAAGUCACAUUCGUCCUACAAUUCAGCCUGGUGUUCUGCCUUUGUUCAUGAUGUGUGUGAUGAUGCUUUACCCUAUCCUUUUCCAGAUGAGAUCCUGGAUGUCAUUCUCCUUGUCUUUGUGCUCUCUACUAUUCAUCCUGACAGGAUGCAAAGGGUUGUAAAUAGGUUGGCUAAGCUGCUGAAGCCUGGAGGAAUGUUGUUAUUUCGAGACUACGGAAGAUACGAUACAGCUCAACUUCGUUUUAAAGAAGGUCGUUGCUUGUCAGAAAAUUUUUAUGUAAGAGGAGAUGGAACCAGAGUAUAUUUCUUUACCAAAGAAGAGGUAUGGAACAUGUUCACCUUGGCUGGAUUAAGUGAAGUACAGAAUUUAAUUGAUCGGCGAUUACAAGUAAACAGAAAGAAAAAAGUGAAAAUGCAGCGAGUUUGGAUUCAAAGCAAAUUCCAGAAGCCAUUGCUAUCUCUGAAUAAUCCUGGAGAAAGCACCAAAAGGCACCCUUGUAAAUAAUUUUACUCCAGAAAUGCAGUACAGAAUUGAACUUCAGAAACUGAAGCAAGUUUAAUGUAUAUAAACUUCUCUCCACAUUUGGAACAAGGAUUGGACAUGGGGGUGUUUUGACAUCAGUUAUGUGCCGGUUCCCCUUCUCUUGAGAAUCAUCCAGGAUUUGGACAAGGGAAAAAUGUUUUUACCUUCUUUCAAGUAGAACCCUAUAGUGACAGAAGCUACAUUCCUAACCUCCUGGGAAGCAAAUGCCAGAGAAUAACAGAAGUGUCUGUAUCCUGAUUGUCUGCAAUCAAGCUACACUACCUUCUGAUUUAUCUUAAUAACGCUUUUGGAGACUCUCAAGUGGACUGUAAGUAAGUAUUAGAUAUUUUAAGUAUACAUUAUGUAAGUAUUACUGGUUGUAAUCUUAAAGUGAA